UGGGUGCAAUUGUUGAAGUUCUUGGGUGGGCUGGAAUUUUAACAAUUGUCUGUGAUAUUUUGGGAAGAAUCUCGGCCAGUGUUGUGCUUGUUGAAAUUUUGGUUGAUUUAAUUCGGCAACUGCAUUCCUUGUUGGCAUUAGUAGUUUUUAAUCGAGUUUUUGAGGACAUUCUGGAUGUUGGUUUAUAUUGCUGAUUUGGAGGAGCAGUGUCUGUGAUUUUGGUCUGAUCAUUUGUGCAAUUUGUUGACUCAUUUGAGGACUUAUUUGUUUCCUGGGUUU
rnacentral:lncRNA from 1 species